rnacentral:misc_RNA from 1 species
GUCAUUCACGUUGUAAAGUAGUUUCAGAUAUUUCCUCAAAAACAUAGAUUUAUACAUACAUACGUGAAAAUGGUGUUCAUGGGUUGGUUUAUUUUGGUUGGUAAACAUCGCUGCAUAUUUAUCUGGUCGCUAGGGAGAAUGCCAUUGAUGAUCAUGGUGGGUGAGGAGUAUUCCAACGAUUUAUGGUGCUUUAUAUGUGGAAUUAAAUCAUUUGCUUUUUGAAUUGUCCACAAAAAUAGUAUAUAGCUUGUCAAAUGGUUUAUGUGGCAUAAGCUGGAACUUAAUGCGCAUUAUGGACCGG